GUGCCAGCAGCCGCGGUAAUACCAGCUCCAUUAGCGUAUAUUAAUGUUGUUGCAGUUAAAAGCUCGUAGUUGGAUUUCUGACAUAACGGACCUGGCCCGGCGUCCGUAAACGUGACGUUGUGUGCCGGUGGUUCAAUCUGGUUCCGUGGGUUACUUGGUGUACCUCGGUCGCUGGCCGCCCUGGUCUCCUCCGGGCUGAUCGGGUGUGCCUUCCUGGCUGGGUUUCAUCGCCCGCGGGACUGUCCGUUGGUCAUCCUUCAAGAAAACCGUUCUGCCUUUCGUUAGGUCGGUGCGGGGCUCUUGAUCGUUUACUUUGAAAAAAUUAGAGUGUUUAGGACAGGCUUAUGCCGUGAAUAGGUUAGCAUGGAAUAAUAAGAUAGGACUUCGGCACCGCUGGUGAUUGCCGGUA
rnacentral:rRNA from 1 species